GCCGGAGUGGCGGAACGGUAGACGCCGGGGACUUAAAAUCCUCUGAGGGUCACCCCCUCGUGCGGGUUCGAAUCCCGCCUCCGGUACCA
rnacentral:tRNA from 1 species